rnacentral:rRNA from 1 species
GAUGAACGCUGGCGGCGUGCCUAAUACAUGCAAGUCGAGCGAACAGACGAGGAGCUUGCUCCUCUGACGUUAGCGGCGGACGGGUGAGUAACACGUGGAUAACCUACCUAUAAGACUGGGAUAACUUCGGGAAACCGGAGCUAAUACCGGAUAAUAUAUUGAACCGCAUGGUUCAAUAGUGAAAGACGGUUUUGCUGUCACUCAUAGAUGGAUCCGCGCCGCAUUAGCUAGUUGGUAAGGUAACGGCUUACCAAGGCAACGAUGCGUAGCCGACCUGAGAGGGUGAUCGGCCACACUGGAACUGAGACACGGUCCAGACUCCUACGGGAGGCAGCAGUAGGGAAUCUUGCGCAAGGGGCGAAAGCCUGACGGAGCAACGCCGCGUGAGUGAUGAAGGUCUUCGAAUCGUAAAACUCUGUUAUUAGGGAAGAACAAAUGUGUAAGUAACUAUGCACGUCUUGACGGUACCUAAUCAGAAAGCCACGGCUAACUACGUG